rnacentral:rRNA from 1 species
AGUUCAGAUUGCAGGCUGCAACUCGCCUGCAUGAAGUCGGAAUUGCUAGUAAUCGCAGAUCAGCAUGCUGCGGUGAAUACGUUCCCGGGCCUUGUACACACCGCCCGUCACACCAUGGGAGUCGGUAACACCCGAAGUCGGUAGCCUAACCGUAAGGGGGCAGCAGUCGAAGGUAGAGCCAAUGAUUGGGGUGAAGUCGUAACAAGGUACC